GACGAACGCUGGCGGCGUGCUUAACACAUGCAAGUCGAACGGAAAGGCCCUGCUUUUGUGGGGUGCUCGAGUGGCGAACGGGUGAGUAACACGUGAGUAACCUGACCUUGACUUUGGGAUAACUUCAGGAAACUGGGGCUACUACCGGAUAGGAGCUCCUGCUGCAUGGUGGGGGUUGGAAAGUUUCGGCGGUUGGGGAUGGACUCGCGGCUUAUCAGCUUGUUGGUGGGGUAGUGGCUUACCAAGGCUUUGACGGGUCGCCGGCCUGAGAGGGUGACCGGCGACAUUGGGACUGAGAUACGGCCCAGACUCCUACGGGAGGCAGCAGUGGGGAAUAUUGCACAAUGGUCGGGAGCCUGAUGCAGCAACGCCGCGGGCGGGAUGACGGCCUUCGGGUUGUAAACCGCUUUCGCCUGUGACGAAGCGUGAGUGACGGUAAUGGGUAAAGAAGCACCGGCUAACUACGUG
rnacentral:rRNA from 1 species